GCCACAGAAAUGAUUUGUAAACUGUCCUAGAUCUUGAAUUUACAUUUCAUUUUAGUACUGAUCUAUCAUUGAUGAGCACUUAUUUUUGCCUGUUUAGUGCCAUCAAGUCACUACCAGACUUUCCAAAUAGUCAAACACAAUCUUUAUAAGCUGAGUUUUAAAUACUGGUCAUAAAAAAAAGAUCUGCUUCUCAACAAAAGGAGUUUUAAUCAUAAAGAGCACAACUAUUAACUCAUUUCCAUAUUGACUAUUUGAAUAGUUGACUGCUUAUGCUUGGUGACAUAUGUUACUUCCAGUCCAAAGCAGAAGAUACUAGCACGUGUAUGCACAUCCAGCUGCUGGGAUGCCACGGACAUCAUGCUGAGUUCCCUCCCUGUCUGCACUGUGGGAUGGGAACGGGGGUGCAUGUGGCCUCGUAUCAGCACUGUGGGGCCUGAAUGUUCUCCUUUUCCCUUUUUCUCUAAGGCUGAGACCUGCUCUUACCAGUAGCAAGGACUAUAACUUGCUUUCCUUGUCUCUGGCCCAUCCUUCUCUCCAGUGUCUGUCAGUGUGAUUUCAGUGUUUUACUGCCAAGCAAAUCAAAGAAGAAAGGCAUAAGAGUAGUGCCCCAUUUUGUGUGGCAGGAGGAUGUUAGGCAAAUGCUGUUCUCUGCCCAGGUCAGUCCACAGAGCUGGACACCCUGUAGAGACACUCAGGGCAUCAGAGGUUCCCACCAGCUUUGCACUGAAGAGAAACCAACUGUAAAAGUGCAGGAGCAAUACCACUCCCAGCCAGUCUGGUCCCCAGGGAGAUCCACCUCUUCUCUGGAAGCUGGGGCAAGGUGUUGGAGUCUCCCAAUUCCCAUGACAUCUUCUU